rnacentral:rRNA from 1 species
GUCCACGCCGUAAACGUUGGGCACUAGGUGUGGGACCCUAUCGACGGGUUCCGUGCCGUAGCUAACGCAUUAAGUGCCCCGCCUGGGGAGUACGGCCGCAAGGCUAAAACUCAAAGGAAUUGACGGGGGCCCGCACAAGCGGCGGAGCGUGUGGCUUAAUUCGAUGCAACGCGAAGAACCUUACCUGGGCUUGACAUUUUCGGUAAAGCGGGUGAAAGCCCGUGUGCUUCGGCGCCGAAAACAGGUGGUGCAUGGCUGUCGU